AAAAAAAAAAAAAAAAAUAGUUUAUUAUUUUGAGCAAGUGCUAAAAUUUCUCAAAAAUCUCAACAUAGAAAGAGUUAAAAUAAAAGCACUUCAAAUACCCAAGGGGUGUCUAAUUUUUUAAAAAAAUGGCUUGAUGGGAUAAAUUGGAGUGGCUGGGCUCAAAGAUAGGGCAUAGGUACAGACUGACCAAAAUGGAGAAAAAAGUGCACUUCCCAAAUGUGGCAUUUUAAAUCUCAAACAACAUGGCAAACCCAUGCAUGUGGGGUAUCGCUGCAUUCGGGAGAUGUUGCUGAACACACAUUGGGGGGUUGUUUGAUAGUGACUCAUACCAGGAGCUAUGAAUUCCUGAAGUACAAUUUGUGUGGGAAAAAAAAAUACAAAAUUAAGUUUUGGCAAAGGCAGGUGGUAGAAUCUCAUGCAUAAAAGGGUUAAAAUACCAGCAUUUGAAAUGCCCUGGGGUGUCUAUUUUUCAAAAA